GCUACGGUGGCCAAGUGGUUAGAGCGUCCGCCUCGGAUGCGGGAGGUCGUGGAUUCGUUCCCCGGCCGAGUCAUACCA